rnacentral:rRNA from 1 species
AUUGAACGCUGGCGGCAGGCCUAACACAUGCAAGUCGAGCGAGCGGCGGACGGGUGAGUAAUGUAUGGGGACUGCCCGAUAGAGGGGGAUAACUACUGGACAAGGUAGCUAAUACCGCAUACUAUCGGAUAACCCAUAUGGGAUGAGCUAGUAGGUGCGGUAAUGGCUCACCCAGGCGACGAUCCCUAGCUGGUCUGAGAGGAUGAUCAGCCCCACGGGAACGGAGACACGGCCCAGACUCCGACGGAGGCAGCAGUGGGGAAUAGUGCACAAUGGGCGCAAGCCUGAUGCAGCCAUGCCGCGUGUAUGAAGAAGGCCUUAGGGUUGUAAAGUACUUUCAGUCGGGAGGCGUUACCGACAGAAGAAGCACCGGCUAACUCCGUGCCAGCAGCCGCGGUAAUAC